GCCUCUAAGACUGAAGAACUGAGACAUUUUGUCCUGGUCACUGACCACAAACCAGAGGAUAAUAAAAUGUAAUGUCUACAGAGUUUGGCCUGAAAAUGAUUUCAGCUAUUUCAGGAACACAGUCUUGGACAAUUUAUUGACACCCUGGCAAAAGAAGGAUUGUUCUCAAAUCAGUAAAUCAGUCUUCAGAAGGGGGGAAACCAAGAAAUAACUUAUGCGAACUCCUUGAUUUCAUCAUACAAGA
rnacentral:lncRNA from 1 species